GAUGAACGCUAGCGGCAGGCUUAACACAUGCAAGUCGAGGGGUAUGGGAAGCUUGCUUUCCAGAGACCGGCGCACGGGUGCGUAACGCGUAUGCAAUCUACCUUUUACAGGGGGAUAGCCCAGAGAAAUUUGGAUUAAUACCCCAUAGUGUAAUGAAUAGGCAUCUAUUUAUUACUAAAGUUCCAACGGUACAAGAUGAG
rnacentral:rRNA from 1 species